AGUGAACGCUGGCGGCAGGCCUAAUACAUGCAAGUCGAACGGCAGCACAAUAAGCGUUCGCUUUUCCGGGUAGCGGCUGACGGGUGGGUAACGCAUACAUAGCCUUCCUCUUUUUCGUGGAUAACAACGUAGAACAACAGCUGAUACCACAUCAUAUGACAUACUGCUUAAUGCAUAGGUUAAACGUACUCUUGCCGCAUGAAUGAGACGAAUUCGGAUUAGUUGGGUGGCUGGGUAAGGGCCCACCAAGCCAACGAACCGUAGCUGGUCUGAGAGGAUGAUCGGCCACACUGGAACUGGGACACGGUCCAGACUCCUACGGGAGGCAGCAGCGGGGAAUAUUGGACAAUGGGCGAAAGCCUGAUGCAGCAAUACCGCGUGGGUGAAGAAGGUCUUCGGGUCGUAAAGCCCUUUUGUUGGGAAAGAAAAGCAGCAGAUUAAAACGCCGCUGUUCUGACGGUACCUAAUGAGUAAGCACCGGCUAACUACGUG
rnacentral:rRNA from 1 species